rnacentral:rRNA from 1 species
CAGGUUGAUAGGUCAGGGAUGUAAGCAUGGCAACAUGUUAAGUUGACUGAUACUAAUAAGUCGAGGGCUUGACCAAAA